rnacentral:rRNA from 1 species
UACAGAGGUCUCAAGCGUUGUUCGGAUUCAUUGGGCGUAAAGGGUGCGUAGGUGGCGCUGCAAGUCGGGUGUGAAAUUUCGGAGCUUAACUCCGAAACUGCAUUCGAUACUGCGGUGCUUGAGGACUGGAGAGGAGACUGGAAUUCAUGGUGUAGCAGUGAAAUGCGUAGAGAUCAUGAGGAAGACCAGUGGCGAAGGCGGGUCUCUGGACAGUUCCUGACACUGAGGCACGAAGGCCAGGGGAGCAAACGGG